rnacentral:rRNA from 1 species
GACGAACGCUGGCGGCGUGCCUAACACAUGCAAGUCGAACGGGACUGGGGGCAACUCCAGUUCAGUGGCGGACGGGUGCGUAACACGUGAGGAACAUGUCCUCGGUGGGAAUAGCCGGCCUAACGGCCGGGUAAUACCGCGUACGACCCCUGGGUGGCAUCACUUUGGGGUGAAAGCAGCAAUGCGCCGAUGGAGUGCCUCGCGGCCUAUCAGCUAGUUGGUGGGGUAAUGGCCCACCAAGGCGACGACGGGUAGCUGGUCUGAGAGGAUGAUCAGCCACAUUGGGACUGAGACACGGCCCAGACUCCUACGGGAGGCAGCAGUGGGGAAUCUUGCGCAAAUGGGCGAAAGCCUGACGCAGCGACGCCGCGUGUGGGAUGACGGUCUUCGGAUUGUAAAACCACUGUCGGGAGGGACGAAUGCGCCGCAAGGCGAGUGACGGUACCUCCAGAGGAAGCACCGGCUAACUCUGUGCCAGCAGCCGCGGUAAUACAGAGGGUGCGAGCGUGUCG